GUCCCUUCAGGGACAUCCGAUAAAAUUACUAUACAUAAAAGAUUAGAUGGUUUCUGCGCAAUGAUGACAAACACAAAUCGAGAAAUUAUCUAAUUGUUU